AAAAAAACUAUGGUCUGCCUUGACCAAGUACAAUUCCUUGCAUGAUUCCAUGGGCAGCAGUGAAGCAGGGCUCACACUUGUAUCAAAUCCAGCCUCAUGUUCUCUUGUACGGUUAAAUGGCUUGGUGAAAAUCACUGAUCAGUUCAAGCCAAGCACAGAACAGAUAAGUUGAGCUGGGUCUAGCUGACAGGUUAUCACUUUCUAUAAGAGGAGACUGCUGACUAUCAUCUCAAUUUAAGAUUCAUAAUCACACUCACAUUUCUCCAAUUAUUUGAGUUAAGAUAUCAUCCAGCAGACCUAUGAGCAAGCUGUGAACAUAUUUUUGAUCUUGCAGUUUCUUUAACAGGACAAGACACAGAGAAAUUUCUUCUUGUCAAUUUCUCCAAGUUCCUCUAUUUUCUUAAUCCUUACACAGAUAAGGGUUCAACGCUUUAGUAAAGUAUUGAUUAAGAAGGUUGGGUCGUAACUAGUAUCUUGAGUUUGGGUCCUGGUCACUCACAAGAUUUUCCAAGAAUGGGCACUGAUUUGGGCUCAGCCUGAUAAGGCUUCUGUUCCGUUUUGGUCAAAACAAAGGUUGGGUCGUAACUUUUAUAAAGUUUUGGUUACAAGCUUCCAAAUUCCAAUGAUCGAGUGUUUCUUUUUGUAUUGUUUGCCCGUUGGUUGACUAGGCGUCAAACAGCGCCAAAGAGAGGGUUACUCCUUUGUCCCUGGAACUGCAAAGCAAAAAGCGUGCACGACCCACAGUUCUUUUGGGGCUUCAGAAAUUGCACCAUCAGCACUUUCAUACUCUCUCUAAACUGUUUAUACUGUCAAAAUGACCGUCCCAAAGGCCAAUGUAGUGGUUUCCAGGUUUUGAAUUCCCUGAAGCUUAUUGAGCCCAAAGGAUGGCAGGUGCCAUGAGUUUUUCCCUUUUGCAAUUUCCUAGAUGCAGAAUCCAGCCCUUACCACACUUUCAAUCAACAUACGUAGGCUGUUUGUCACACAAGUUCGACAUACUAAGACAUUCUUUCAAGGUUUUUUCUCAAUUUAAGCUGCUAGGAUCACAUGAUUUCGAGCCUUUUCAAGGGACAACUAAUAGGACUCAGGUUUUGAGACCUGGAUCAACAGAAAGUGGGCUAGGAACUAGAGACAACGAAAAAGGUGAACCAAGCAAUGUUAGGCAUGAAUUCUUGGAUGGACAACUGCAGGCAAGCACUAUCAGUUCUUCAGUUUCAAGUUGCCUUAGUAGCAUCCAGUAUUGUGAUGCUAAACGCCAGAUUUUAGAGAGCCAAGAUCCAAAGCAAUUUGUAAGAGUGUUUGUUUUUGAUAUUGAAACCACUGGAUUUUGCAAAGAGAGUGAGCGGAUUAUCGAAAUUGCAAUUCGAGACAUUCUGGGGGGAAAGAACAGUUGUUUCCACACACUGAUUAACCCUGAACAACAUGUUCCAAAUUCACACAUUCAUGGUAUUACAACCAACAUGGUGAAUCAACUAGAUGUCCCAAGGAUGAAGGACUUCAUCCCAAUCCUGCUGCACUACAUCAGAAGCCGCCAACAAAUUCCUGGGAGCCUUGCUUUGUUUAUUGCUCACAAUGCACGAUGUUUCGAUGUACCUUUUCUAGUCAAGAAUUCAGCCGUUGUUCAAUGGAUAUUCCUCCUAAUUGGCUGUUUUUAGACACCCUUCCUCUGGCCGCCAGAUGAUGAAGUUGAAUGGAUCAAGGCUCUUCUCACUACAAGCGCUCCGCGAACACUUUGACAUUCAAUCAGUAGAUGCAACACAUAGAGCCGUGUCAGAUGUGAACUUGUUGUCAGCUAUACUUGGGAGGAUGACGGUUGACAUGAAGCUCACGAUUGCUGAUUUCUUUGAAAAAUCUUCCAGGCUUCAGAUGUCAGCGACUUGAUGAAGACUAAAAAGAAGAGCUGAAACUAGCAUUGUUUUUAUUGCUUGUAACUCCUCAAGUUGAUCUAUACUCUUGUAUUUACGGAUGAUCAUAUACUCUUCUUCGGGUUGAAAAUGUAUUUCCUUUUUUUUC